AGUUAUACCAUUAUAUAAAAUUAAGUUAAACAUUACAUAACUUAUGGGGCAUCCACCCUCUGGUAUGAAUUAUGAACAAUAUCAUGAUUAAAAAAUACAGCCCCUAGCAGAUUGUCAAUAGCUUUAACAAGUUAGCCUUAGGUUAACAGGUUCACCCUAAAAUAUACCUCUAAUAUAUGGAAAGCAAACACUGCCAUUUAUAUUUGUGAAGAUGUUCUAUCAACAUUUCAUCAGGAUUGAUCUUUCUCGAAUAUGACAUGGCUGAUUCUUUAUAUCAUGUGGAAACAUGGAUAAAGGGAAUCGUAGACAAUCACUGACUGGCCACUUGAUUGUGAUACAAGCCAAUGUCCAGGAAGGUUAUGGAUCUGAAUUGCAUUCAACAUUGAUGUUAUUGGAUCCUCCCUGGUGAGUUUGCUUGAUACUAUCAAGGUAUCUAUUAAGCCAUCUACUUUGGUGAAUUGGUUUUUCAAUAGAAUCUGGACUGCAUUGAUGUGAUUAUCAUUUAGAAGGUUGCCUGAAGUCAGUUCAUGUUUAUCAGCCUGAUACAAAUUCAAACUAGGCAAACAUACCCAGAGCUUUCUUUCUAGAUGAAAACAGGACUUCUUACUGGGUGAGCUGAGAUCAACUACAUCUGGCUUUGUAGAGCAUCUCUUCUUUGGUCUAUCUGAGGCAAGUGGCACAUGCACUUUGAAAUUUUUCUUCAUUACUUCAGCAUGCUUCCCAACUCGGCCUGUGUAGGGGUGUUUUGGGCGACCAUAUUUUCUGGUUGUUAAUGUUUUUAUCUUUCCCUUUUUCUUUUGACCAUUUUUUGUGAUGUGUUUUCUCCCUCUUGUGGUUACUGGAUUUUUCUUAACUUGGGUUUUUUUUAUGAUAAUUCCUGCUUCCUGGGGUGCUGUACUUCGUGCCUUCUCUAAAAUCCCCUCCAACUCACUGGCAAGACUGGAAAGUUGUUGUUUGUCAUCCAUUAGAAAUGUAAGGUUUGAAAGUUCCUUCAUCAAAUUGCGGCACUUGAGACGAAGAGCAUUUUUGCCACUUGUUCUUUUAGGUGGAAGUGAUUUAUAAUCUUUAUUGACCAGUUCAGGGGGUGAAGGUGGUAUGAAAUCAUCAUUGUCUCUUUUUUCUGUUGGAGGUUGAUCAUUGGUUACAUUUCCUUGCUGUUUAACAAUGUGUUUAUUUUCAGGAUAACUGUUAUCUGGUGGAACAAUUUUCUGAUCUAAUGAAAACAGUGGAUUUCCUAUGUAUUUGGCACUCAGGUUUUCCCAUCUCCAUUCUGGAAAAGCUUUCAUGCAAGCACAAAAGUGUUUGCAAAGAAGCUUGUUGUGUCUCCAGUCCAAGCAUGUGCAGUUUGGGAGAGUUUCUUCAUCACCAAAGAAUAAUCUGUAUAUGUUCCCUCCUGUUGAACUCUUUACAUCAAAGACCCCAGGAGACACCAUUUGGACCAUGUCAUUUGUGAUGUCACUUUCCCAGCGCUUUAUUAUAUGAGAUACCAUUUUUGCUGGUCUAUUGUGCAAAAAUUUGGGAAGAUCCUUAUGGUAUGCACGAUAACCAUCAUGGCAUUUCACAUUUAACUCAACAUACCUAUAUGGUAAAAAAUACAACAAUUCUUUACAUACUUCACAUUUGUGAAAUUUAAACAAUAUUCCUGAGAAAUUCCAUUAGUGCUGCAAUUUUACAAGUAGGCAACUCUUACUUUCUGAACGUUUUUGGAAGAAACUGAUCCACAAGGACUUUUAGCAUGUCUGUUAAAGAGCAUCCUUUGUUCCCAAGCAGAUAUUCAUAUUUAAAUGCCUUAUUUUGUCUCUCAAUCCCAUUGUUUGUGUUGACUGCACAAAUAAAAUCUUCAGCCCGGUAUGCUUGGCACCAUCUCUGAAAAUCAAAAUUUAUGGUUUUUAGUAUUUCUCAUGUUUGCUGGUUUGACAAGCACUAUUAAAUAGUUCAGUCAUUAGUCAUUGAUUGACUGGACUUUCUAAGCUUUCCUAUAAUAUGUUGGCUUUGUACCUUUAUGUUUGGCAGCCACUUGUUACCAAACCAAUUCCUUAGUUUCGGAUUACUUUUCCAAAGUCUGCUCUCAGUAAGGCAUGUGGUUGAUUUUCGACACUCUUCAGAUGUGGCUGCAUGUGCGAUGCUCCGUAAUAGAUUUAGCAGAUGUUGUUUGUCAUGAGCAACACCAUUGUCUAAUUUAGAUGUCCAUUCUUGCCAUGACUUCUCCCGAUGAAAAUCACAAAGAAGUACUUCUGCAUCUGAAUAAUAUAAAUGACAUUGAGGUGCAUCAGGUUGCAUCCAGCAGACACAUUUGGUUACCAUACUUUGCGAGGAGAUGUCGUUGAUCACUGGUCUGAUGACAGAACAGUAAUGUUUGGGUGGAGUAUUCGUCGGAGGUGACGCAGUCAUCUUCAUCCUGAACACAAUCAUCUGGUACUGGCUUAGCACAAUGGGGACGAUAGAGAAAUGAGUCUUCUGGAUGCUCAUUCUUCCAUUUUUCGACCAGUCUCUUCAAAUUUUCUUGGUCAAUUGUGGAGAAAUUGUCUGGUUUUCCUUUGUACAAAUGAUUAUAAAUGUCCUUGUUAGUAGGAUAAUAUCGCCUACUAGUUUUGUCUGGCGGUUUACAUCCCUUGAAGAGGUCACAUUGCACGAAAAGCUCGAGGUACCUGCGUGCCUCACUUACUGAGUGGACACCUUCUUGGGCUAGCUCUGAAAGUUUUUCCACUAUAACCGGGUCCAGUGGCUCUCUUAUUCCAGCAGCCUGUAAUAUAAAAAAUAACCAUUACAUUAAUAAUUUUAACAAUCGCGCGUGUUUUAUAAGUAAAUUACAGUACUUUUAAAUUCUAAUAUGUGCCAAUCCUGUCGCAAUGUUAUGUAGGUUUAUAUAUUUUCGGUUUUUGUGGCAAU